UACGUAGGGGGCUAGCGUUGUCCGGAUUUAUUGGGCGUAAAGAGCGUGUAGGCGGCCAGGUAGGUCUGCUGUGAAAACUCGAGGCUCAACCUCGAGCCUGCAUUCGAUACUGGGCGGCUAGAGUCUGGUAGGGGGAUCUGGAAUUCCUGGUGUAGCGGUGGAAUGCGCAGAUAUCAGGAGGAACACCGGCGGCGAAGGCGGCACUCUGGGCCGGUACUGACGCUGAGGAGCGAAAGCGUGGGUAGCAAACAGG
rnacentral:rRNA from 1 species